rnacentral:rRNA from 1 species
UACGGGGGGAGCAAGCGUUGUUCGGAUUUACUGGGCGUAAAGGGCGCGUAGGCGGCCAGCGCAAGUCAGUUGUGAAAUCUCCGGGCUUAACUCGGAACGGCCAACUGAUACUGCGCGGCUAGAGUGCAGAAGGGGCAACUGGAAUUCUCGGUGUAGCGGUGAAAUGCGUAGAUAUCGAGAGGAACACCUGCGGCGAAGGCGGGUUGCUGGGCUGACACUGACGCUGAUGCGCGAAAGCCAGGGGAGCGAACGGG